GUUGUGACUUGCUUCCAAAUUACUAUCUUUGAACCAUCAGAGACAGU
rfam:Bacteroides sp. CAG:462 genomic scaffold, scf311